UCCCUGGUGGCUCAGCUGGUAAAGAACCCGCCUGCAAUGCGGGAGACCCCAGUUCUAUUUCUGGGUCGGGAAG
rfam:Ovis aries breed Texel chromosome 9, whole genome shotgun sequence.